GCUCCCGAAAAUUAGUUGGUUUACAGUAAUCAGAUUUAUACUUGAUAAGAGCAACAGAACAAGGAACACUCCGGAUGCAGAAUUUUCUCGCUGCUCUGAAUACAAAUUGUUUGCUUUGAUCUGUUUCUGGUCUUCGGUCGGGUUGUUGUCUCUCUGACAAAUUCCCUGUUUCAAUUCUUUUUUCUUCUUUUGCAUACCUGAUUUUAAUCUAGAUUUUGAGAGGUUCGGGUAGCUCCAUUCUUAAAAUUCUUUAUAAAGCGCUUUUGGGGCGUUUAUUUACUUUUAUUGCGUGGUAAACAUGAUACUAGAACAUGAAAUAUACUAAAAUACAUUGAACCUACGUUCGAUCAAGGAAUUUUAAUCAAGUAAUACAACUGUUUUGAAUUACCUGAAAGAUGAGGAGUUUACUCGACAAGCUAUGUCAUAGAUGUUGUUUUUAAAUCAAGGCGUAAGUGAACAAGACUU
rnacentral:lncRNA from 1 species